CCCCCCCCCCGCCCCCAGGCCUCCAUCUCCAUUCCUGCGCGCGUCGGCCACCUCCCUCCGGCGGAGCUCGACCCCCACCCCCAAGCCCAGCCGCUCCACCCUCUCCUGUACCCAUCCACAGAUCGAGCAAGGGGUGAGGGAGCGCCCAGAUCCACCACCCUACCAAAACGAGAUACAACACCAGAUCCCUCCUUCUUCCUGACUUCUGGCACCGUCGCAGCCACCUUUUACGUCGCGGCUCUCCUACUUUGUCUAGCCUCGCGUCCACGCCUCCCCUGCCCCUCGCCCCUCGUGCCCACGCCUCCCCUGCCUCUUGUCGGACUCACCAUCCUAUGCUGCACCAAGGAGAUGGGCGUGUGUGAGUCCGCCCUCUCGGGGGAGGCAGAGGGGCACCGUGGCGGUGAUGGGGAAUAAGAUCGCAGGACAACGCAGGCCUCGGCGAUGCAGUCCUACCUGCACGAGCUGCCCUCCACCUACAACCUCGUGAUGCUUGACCUCGUCAGGCGUGGCCGCCUCCUCUACAAGCACAAUGAGGGCCGCCUUCUCGUCAAGAUCUACUUCAAGCGCGCCGGAGAGCCCCUCGAGCUCAAGGACCAUGAUUCGGAGGCUGGAGCAGAUCCGGAGGGUGUUCCAGGGACUCGAGGGCUCCCAUAUCUGGCCCUUCCAGUGUUUAAUUUUUCAUAGUCAGGUUGUAAUAAUUUUCAACUUGCAGUCAGGUUGCCUUGCUCUCAGUCACUUGGUAGUUUUAUAAAUGUUAUCACUUUGAUUCUAUCGUCCGCCUGGCUCAGAGGAUGAAGAUAAGGAACACAAAGCAGAGUCACCGCCGGAUUCGAGGGUGGAGCCCGAGCCUCCACUGGAGCAUGAAUCAGACGUGCAGGAGGUGGAGCUCCGCAUGGAUCAUGACAUGGUCGUCGCGGGGGCAAGGAUCAUCAAGUCUGCAGGCGGCAUCAGGGGAGGUGCAGUGCCAGCUGCUGGACAUGGUUCACCCUGGGUUGCUGCUGAUGCACAAGGUGAAUUUCGAUGCCAAGACGGAGUAUGAAAUGAUUGAGAACUACAAGAUUCUCCUGGAUGUGUUCAACAAGCUGUAGAUAGGCAAGGUACAGUGGUGAUUCUCCUGGCUUAGCUCUCUACCUGUGGAUUUAUCCGUGAUUGUGUCUUGCAUUUUGUCAUCUGGGAAAGCAAAGGUGAUUUGUCUAUAUAGUAGUUUGGUUUAUAUAUGCCGUGUGUGGGGAUUCAGUCUGGAACAGUCGUGUGUGAUUGAUGUCAACAUGUGGUAUAGCCACAAGAUGAUUCGAUAACUGACUAAAUUUGUUGUGCACUACUGAAGUUAUCCUCAUUGCUGUGUAUAGUACUAAACUUGUACAAUUCUUGUCCUUUUUCCACACAACAUUAAGAUUAGAGUCGUGCUUUCUGAAUGUUUUGCCAAUUUUUAUGUCCUGUGAGCUAGCAAACUGAGCUACGGGUGCUUCAUCUCUGUCCUUCAGCUUCUAUACUUAUGACAAUUAAAUAGAGGAUCUAUUUUGCUCCCUGCUCUGAUUGGUUUCAAUCGAUAUUUGUCUCAUCUAGCACUCUGAGUAUCAGUAUGUUGUUUUAACCCUGAUUAUGACGUGGUAGUAUAAAGUGGACACCAUAUUCCUAUUUAAAUGCAUAACGAUUUUUUUUCCCAUCAUGUCCUGGUUUACCCAUGUCAGAUUUGUUCCUUCCGGAACUCUUGGUCCUUCAUAUCUAAAGUUUACAUGUACUGUACAAGCUCUACUUUAUGCUAAUACUUGCCUUUGUAACAUUUUGCAUUGCAUACUUCUAAAUGGACAAGUACAUGCGAUGUCCAUCAUGAACGAUGAUGCAGACUAGAUCUACAACUACAGAACCAUCCAUCACAUAAACACAAAGUCAGAUGUUUUGCAUCAGGAAGAAGCAGUACUUGAGGAAGCAGAUUACAUGUUUUCCCGCCAUGAAGCACUAGAUAGGCUUGUUCUAUUUAUUUUUGCUGUUCUAGAGUAUUUCAGCAGCUGAAUGCUUGACUACAACAUGUUGUAGGUUGCUUGGAUCUGUAUAAAAUACGUAUGUGAUGGAAAUUUGUAGAAUGUGCGUUCUGAGAUAUUUCCGUAAUAUUCAGCUAAUUGGUGGUAACUUGAUUCA